rnacentral:rRNA from 1 species
CGGAGAGCCUCGCGAAUCCGGCAAGAUGCUGCUGCCCAAUUCUCGCCGCUUCCUUGCUCGGCUUCUUGCCGUCCUCACGUUGCUACUGCUAACCUUCGUCGGUGGCCAUGCACGUGGUCUAGGUCGAAGCUGCGAUACUUUUCAGAACCCAACCGGCUGCUCAAGUUUGCCCUCUCCAAACUGUCCUGAAUGUGGUCGACGGUAAGCGCCUUCCGUUUUCCUUGAUAAUGGGACGUGCGAAGAUUCUUCAGACCGCCCAAGUGAGGAUAGAGCAGGGCUCACUCCGAUCGGAGCAUAUGUGGACGGCCAUGGUUUACUAUGAUGAUUUGUACGUACAAAUGAAAUGUUGAUCGUUCUACAAAAAUUGUUUCUAUUUCUCGAUAAUAUGAUAAGAGAAUAUGAACUUAUGAAAGCCUUAAUUUUGAAUACACACGAGUGUGCGUACUAUCCCAUUGUUACAUUCUGAGCUGAAAUGAGGCCUUCUAAGAGCACUUGCUCUCUGGACCGUUGGAUUGCCCUCCCAAACAAAUCCCG